GUCGAGCGGGCACAUGGGAGCUUGCAACCUGAUGUUAGCGGCGGACGGGUGAGUAACACGUGGGUAACCUGCCUGUAAGACUGGGAUAACUCCGGGAAACCGGGGCUAAUACCGGAUGGUUGUUUGAACCGCAUGGUUCAAACAUAAAAGGUGGCUUCGGCUACCACUUACAGAUGGACCCGCGGCGCAUUAGCUAGUUGGUGAGGUAACGGCUCACCAAGGCAACGAUGCGUAGCCGACCUGAGAGGGUGAUCGGCCACACUGGGACUGAGACACGGCCCAGACUCCUACGGGAGGCAGCAGUAGGGAAUCUUCCGCAAUGGACGAAAGUCUGACGGAGCAACGCCGCGUGAGUGAUGAAGGUUUUCGGAUCGUAAAGCUCUGUUGUUAGGGAAGAACAAGUACCGUUCGAAUAGGGCGGUACCUUGACGGUACCUAACCAGAAAGCCACGGCUAACUACGUGCCAGCAGCCGCGGUAAUACGUAGGUGGCAAGCGUUGUCCGGAAUUAUUGGGCGUAAAGGGCUCGCAGGCGGUUUCUUAAGUCUGAUGUGAAAGCCCCCGGCUCAACCGGGGAGGGUCAUUGGAAACUGGGGAACUUGAGUGCAGAAGAGGAGAGUGGAAUUCCACGUGUAGCGGUGAAAUGCGUAGAGAUGUGGAGGAACACCAGUGGCGAAGGCGACUCUCUGGUCUGUAACUGACGCUGAGGAGCGAAAGCGUGGGGAGCGAACAGGAUUAGAUACCCUGGUAGUCCACGCCGUAAACGAUGAGUGCUAAGUGUUAGGGGGUUUCCGCCCCUUAUUGCUGCAGCUAACGCAUUAAGCACUCCGCCUGGGGAGUACGGUCGCAAGACUGAAACUCAAAGGAAUUGACGGGGGCCCGCACAAGCGUGGAGCAUGUGGUUUAAUUCGAAGCAACGCGAG
rnacentral:rRNA from 1 species